rnacentral:rRNA from 1 species
UGGGGAAUAUUGGACAAUGGGCGAAAGCCUGAUCCAGCCAUGCCGCGUGUGUGAAGAAGGUCUUCGGAUUGUAAAGCACUUUAAGUUGGGAGGAAGGGCAGUAAGCGAAUACCUUGCUGUUUUGACGUUACCGACAGAAUAAGCACCGGCUAACUCUGUGCCAGCAGCCGCGGUAAUACAGAGGGUGCAAGCGUUAAUCGGAAUUACUGGGCGUAAAGCGCGCGUAGGUGGUUCGUUAAGUUGAAUGUGAAAGCCCCGGGCUCAACCUGGGAACUGCAUCCUGAACUGGCUAGCUAGAGUAGGGCAGAGGGUGGUGGAAUUUCCUGUGUAGCGGUGAAAUGCGUAGGUAUAGGAAGGAACACCAGUGGCGAAGGCGACCACCUGGGCUCAUACUGACACUGAGGUGCGAAAGCGUGGGGAGCAAACAGG